rnacentral:rRNA from 1 species
GUGAGAUGGAAACGGAUAGAGCCAGCGUAUCUGGCCUGCAUUCAACCGUUGGUUCCGUGUCGUCAGGGACGCUGCCUCCAGAUUGGGGUAGUUCCUUGUCCGGCGCGGGACUGAUGGUGCAUUUGCAGGUGGUGUGCGCCGAGGCGCCCGGGACAGCUGCAUGAGCUCAGCCUUGAGGCCAGCCCGCAAGGGUCUGGUACCCGGACUGGGGGAGUGCUGUUUGUUCUGGGUGUGCUUGCCAUGGCAUGGCUUACGGGUUCGGGUGGGCGCCGAGCUGGCAACUGGUUACGGUCGCAUGCGACACGUGCCGGUGGCUAGUUCGGUCCUGUUCGGGCUCUCAUGCCCAAUCUCGGUGUAAAAGCUGGUCAUCUAUCCGACCCGUCUUGAAACACGGACCAAGGAGUUUAUCGUGUACGCGAGUCAUUGGGCGUUCAAAACCCAAAGGCGAAAUGAAAGUGAAGGUAUCCGCAAGGAGCUGACGUGCGAUCCUGUGUGCUUCGGCAUGCAGGCGCAGCAUGGCCCCAUCCCGAUUGCUUGCAAUGGGGUGGAGGUAGAGCGUAUGCGGUGAGACCCGAAAGAUGGUGAACUAUUUCUGAGCAGGAUGAAGCCAGAGGAAA